GACGAACGCUGGCGGCGUGCUUAACACAUGCAAGUCGAACGGAAAGGCCCUGCUUUUGUGGGGUGCUCGAGUGGCGAACGGGUGAGUAACACGUGAGUAACCUGCCCUUGACUUUGGGAUAACUUCAGGAAACUGGGGCUAAUACCGGAUAGGAGCUCCUGCUGCAUGGUGGGGGUUGGAAAGUUUCGGCGGUUGGGGAUGGACUCGCGGCUUAUCAGCUUGUUGGUGGGGUAGUGGCUUACCAAGGCUUUGACGGGUAGCCGGCCUGAGAGGGUGACCGGCCACAUGGGGACUGGGUAACGGCCCAGACUCCUACGGGGGCAAGAGGGGGGGAUUUUUGCACAAGGGGCGGAGGCCGGAUGCAGCAACGCCGCGUGCGGAAUGCGGGCCUUCGGUUUGUAAACGGCUUUCGCCUGUGACGAGGCGGGAUUGCCGUUAAUGGUUAAAAAGGCACCGGCUACCACCUU
rnacentral:rRNA from 1 species